GGAGGGUGCAAGCGUUAAUCGGAAUAACUGGGCGUAAAGCGCACAGCAGGCGGUUAGAUAAGUMAGAUGUGAAAUCCCCGGGCUCAACCUGGGAACUGCAUUUGARACUGUCUGACUAGAGUCUUGUAGAGGGGGGUAGAAUUCCAGGUGUAGCGGCGAAAUGCGUAGAGAUCUGGAGGAAUACCGGUGGCGAAGGCGGCCCCCUGGACAAAGACUGACGCUCAGGUGCGAAAGCGUGGGGAGCAAACAGGAUUAGAUACCCUGGUAGUCCACGCUGUAAACGAUGUCGAUUUGGAGUUUGUGCCAUUAUGAGCGUGGGUUCCGAAGCUAACGCGAUAAAUCGACCGCCUGGGGAGUACGGCCGCAAGGUUA
rnacentral:rRNA from 1 species